CCCAGACUCCUACGGGAGGCAGCAGUGGGGAAUAUUGGGCAAUGGGCGCAAGCCUGACCCAGCAACGCCGCGUGAAGGAAGAAGGCUUUCGGGUUGUAAACUUCUUUUCUCAGGGACGAAGAAAGUGACGGUACCUGAGGAAUAAGCCACGGCUAACUACGUGCCAGCAGCCGCGGUAAUACGUAGGUGGCAGGCGUUAUCCGGAUUUACUGGGUGUAAAGGGCGUGUAGGCGGGACUGCAAGUCAGAUGUGAAAACCAUGGGCUCAACCUGUGGCCUGCAUUUGAAACUGUAGUUCUUGAGUACUGGAGAGGCAGACGGAAUUCCUAGUGUAGCGGUGAAAUGCGUAGAUAUGAGGAGGAACACCAGUGGCGAAGGCGGCCUGCUGGACUGCGACUGACGUUGAGGCCCGAAAGCGUGGGGAGCAAACAGGAUUAGAUACCCCGGUACG
rnacentral:rRNA from 1 species